rnacentral:rRNA from 1 species
CGACCGCUGGCGGCGUGCUUAACACAUGCACGUCGAACGGAAAGGCCCUGCUUUUGUGGGGUGCUCGAGUGGCGAACGGGUGAGUAACACGUGAGUAACCUGCCCUUGACUUUGGGAUAACUUCAGGAAACUGGGGCUAAUACCGGAUAGGAGCUCCUGCUGCAUGGUGGGGGUUGGAAAGUUUCGGCGGUUGGGGAUGGACUCGCGGCUUAUCAGCUUGUUGGUGGGGUAGUGGCUUACCAAGGCUUUGACGGGUAGCCGGCCUGAGAGGGUGACCGGCCACAUUGGGACUGAGAUACGGCCCAGACUCCUACGGGAGGCAGCAGUGGGGAAUAUUGCACAAUGGGCGGAAGCCUGAUGCAGCAACGCCGCGUGCGGGAUGACGGCCUUCGGGUUGUAAACCGCUUUCGCCUGUGACGAAGCGUGAGUGACGGUAAUGGGUAAAGAAGCACCGGCUAACUACGUG